GCGGGAGUAGCUCAGUGGUAGAGCACCAGCUUCCCAAGUUGGGUGUCGCGGGUUCAAGCCCCGUUUCCCGCUCCA
rnacentral:tRNA from 4 species